GAUCCUGGCUCAGGAUGAACGCUGGCGGCGUGCCUAACACAUGCAAGUCGAGCGAAGCGCUUAAAUCAGAUUUCUUCGGAAUGACGAUUUUUGUGACUGAGCGGCGGACGGGUGAGUAACGCGUGGGUAACCUGCCUCAUACAGGGGGAUAACAGUUAGAAAUGACUGCUAAUACCGCAUAAGACCACAGCUUCGCAUGAAGCGGUGGUAAAAACUCCGGUGGUAUGAGAUGGACCCGCG
rnacentral:rRNA from 1 species